rnacentral:lncRNA from 1 species
CCAGAAGCCUUGGCACUGGAAGCCGUGUGAGUGUGUGUGUAUGUGUGUCUCCAUGUGUCUCUGUGUGUGUAUCUGUGUGGAGUAUGUGUCUGUGUGUAUGUGUCUCUGUGUGAGUGUGUGUCUGUGUGUGUCUCUGUGUGAGUGUGUGUGUCUCUGUGUGUGUGUGUCUCCAUGUGUCUCUGUGUGUGUGUGUGUGUCUGUGUGUGAGUGUGUGUGUAUCUGUGUGGAGUAUGUGUCUGUGUGUAUGUGUCUCUGUGUGAGUGUGUGUCUGUGUCUGUGUGAGUGUGUCUCUGUGUGAGUGUGUGUGUCUCUGUGUGUGUGUCUGUGUGUGUCUCUCUGUGUGUGUUUUCCAUCGCUGCCACCCCACUGCUCCUGUCUAGAGAUUUAGGGCUUCCAGGCCAGGAGGAGCAGAAGUCCCAGGACUGAUGCCACUCGAAGUUCAUCGGAUCCACACCAUUCAGUUAAGAGUGUCUGGAGAGGAGGUGAGGCAGAGGAGGUGGGCAGAGCAUGUCUGCAUCUGGGUUUCCCUGGGAAUAGUGAGUCAAACAGACACAGGAAUGUCCUUCGCACUGGGAGAGAUGGGAGGCCUCUCAUCGGGUAACCUUCCCUAUGUGCCUGUCGCCCCAUUUAAGGUAGUUGCUUUGAUUCUAGCCUUGUGUGUAUACCUGUUAGAACAAAUAUGGAUGUGUGGAUGGGCCCAUUAAAGCCUGAAUGUAGUGAGAAUAAAGGUCACAAAGAACUCAAUUUUCACCCCCUUUUUGGAAGUUCUGUGACCAUUCUGUAACUGUUCAGAGCUGGCAGCUUUGUAGAGACAAGCAUGCUUGCUAGAACUGGUCCUCAGAGAAAGUACAUUCUUAGCGUGGCUAGGUUGUGGGUCAGCAGUGGAUAGAAGAGUCUAAAUCCAAGGGGCAGGAAGCCUCCGGCAGAAUUAUACCAGAGAGGCUGGAAUCCAGGGUCCCUUAAACGAAAGCGAAGGCUGAGCUCCUCUGGUGUGUUUGCAGCUAUGUGCGUACUUGGGCAAACUGGAAAGCUGUUGAUCCUGGCUUCGUGACGUACACAGUCUGGUGACGAAACCAGAUUCUGAGUCAGUAAGCCAGGGAAGCACAAGCAUUGUGGUGUGUGGUCAUAUGUUUGUGUGUAUGUGUGUUGGAGGGUACUAGUUACAGUUUGGGUUUAGAGGGAGCCUCUUCAAGGAAGUUUUCUUCUGGCUGAUAUCAAAUGGGAACCAGAUGGAGUGGAGUCUGAAAAGCAGAUAUGUGGAGUCUGGAUCGGUAGAUGCUGAGAUCCUGUGUUGAGUCAUGGGAGAAAUAACAGCCACAGCUGCCAUCCUUAAGUCGACUCAGAGGUCACUUCCUCCUCAUCAGGGAAGACUUCUGGAUCGGCGAGGCUCCCACUUACUCACUCAGCUGGCAGAGCAACGCUGACCCCUUGGAGAUCCAGUAAUCACUGAUCCUCUUGGAGGGUACGGGGACAGGCAUUUUGUCUUCAGUGUGUAACCGUUCUGUGCAGCAAGUCACUCUUCAGGAGUUCUUUCCCUUCUGUGGCUGUCUACGGGGCCACUGAGAAGAAGAUGGUGCCCUCGGAUGGCGAUGGCUCCUUCUGCACCACUCUCUCAGAUUCCAUCGGUGUGGAAUGGACAUCAGGGAAGGCAGCCUCGGACCCAGCAGAGGGUGCCUCUACCUUUUCACCUUUCUGGCCCAUUGGAUUCCUGGCUUUCCAGUGCCACAGCAUGGCAAGCCGCUCUAGACACCUUCCCUGUGUAUUUACUGGUUUUAUGCAGUCCAGAAAUUUGUCUCCAUGCUUCUAUGGGUGCCGGCCCAAUGCAGGCAAUCAGUGCCUGGAGUAUGUGAGGCCUUCCCUGGGUCUGGAGGAAGACUCAGGAUACAACUAAACCCCUGCAUCCACUGACUGGGUUUAAGCAGAAUCAAUUCCCUGUUGGCCAGAAAUGAGUGUAGCUGCCUUCCAAAAUCCCCUCCCACUCAACCUCCCGGCGCCCUACUAAGGGAUUUACUGUCCAAUCUGCUUGGCUCACAGUUAGACAAGAAGCACCUCCAAGGGGUAGAUGAUUGGGACAGACAUGUGUGUGUGUCUCAUGUCACGUGCCCUACGCCGACAUCCUGGAGGGCUGAUGUCAGAGGUCUUGUGCUUCUGACAAACAGGAUGGCCAUGACACACAUGCUGUGUAGUGGACUGCCGUUCAAGAAAGCAAAGGCUGGCUGCUUACUACAGAGGGAUGGAGCGUGACUGGAAGGUUAAGGACAGUGCUGGGCAGGCAUAGACAUGUGGAUCUCUAUGAGCUGGAGGCCCAGCUUGGACUACGUGGCAGGUUCCAAACUGCCAGGGCUACGUAGUGAUAGUGAGACCGGCUCAAAACAGAUGGAUGGAUGAAUGAGAAAGAAAAGGAUGCAGAAAUAAAGGCUGUGUUCCCACAGAAGGGAUUUAAUGGGCUUUAGAACUACAGAACCUGCUCACCAAAGCUGCUGUCUGCAGGCAGGACCAGGGCCUGCACCGCAGGGGCUUAGCUGAACUUACUCUGGGGGUGGAUGGGGACCCCUUAGUGAGGAAACAUGUUUUACAUCUGAGAAUAAUUCAGGUGUUCAUCACAAUGGGAACCUGCUUUCGUCCUUCUUCAUGCUGCUACAGUUAACAAGAGACUUGGACCGCCUUUAAUUCAGCUUGCCUUGAAAACAGUACUAUUGUGUUGUUCUAAACCAGACUGAGAAAUUGUUAGAGCGCUCUCAGAGGUUAGCUGGGUUCACUGUUCAUGUUUGAUCAUGCUUAGCUUUUCUUUUUUUGUGGAAAAAAAAAUUAAAGCAUAAAUGGUCCUUCCUUAUCCAUCUCAUGAUACACACUUCACAUGCCUUGUAGAUUAUUUUGAAGAAAUAUUACGUAAAAACUUUUGCUGCAUCUAUUUUGGUAUGUGUCUCUAAAUCCUGACUAUUAAAGGCACAAAUAUCAUAGCUAAAAUAUUACUUUCUAAGAGCUGUUCAAAUUUUUCUAGUGUGCAUACAUACAUGUAUAAACUCAUUAUACACACACACUGUAUGUAUAUAUAUGCAUAUAUAUACACACACACACAUAUAUAUAUACACACAUAUAUAUAUACACACAUAUAUAUAUACACAUAUAUAUAUAUAUAUACACACAUAUAUAUAUGUAUAUGUUAUAUUGGUACUUGACAGUUACUUAGAUUCAGAGUUUAAAUAAGGGCCACACUCCACAGCAAUGAUGUGUGUCCUAAAUCACUUUUAACAAUAAAUUAAAAUUGUAACUAUAAAUCUGCCUCUUUGCCACUCACUACAAUAUAUUUGUUGACACAAACAGGUUGGUUCCACUAGGAGUCCCAGAAUCUCCUAUCUUUGUGAAGGAAGAAGGUUUAGGCACAGGGAUGAGCUCACGCUCAGGUUUAAACGCCCUCUUCUGGCCAAAAGACGCUACUACAUUUACUCACAUGUAUACUAUUACAUAAAAUAAAAUGUACACUAUUACAUAAAAAUAAAAUUUUAUAUUAAAUC